GCAGACUAAGACAUAUCCGAGCAGACAGCUGUCAUGGUCGGUCUGGCAUCACCCCACUGGCUGUGUUCUUACAGCCUCUGUUUACCCAGGGAAAGGAGGGGUUUGGACACUGGCUGGAGUUCAUCAUAUUCAUGACCACAGUUGUUCCACUGGACCAAAUCGAUGAUGCAUCGACACCUGCGGCCUCCAACAGAUGCUGCUGUCAGACGGAGAGGACGGGGCUGCAUCUGUGAGGAGGAGUUUACACUUCAUCUCUGGCUGCAGGUACAGUACACUGAGGCUGAAACCUGGCUGUUUUCCUUCCAUCAACCACGUGGUGAAGACUUUUUUCCUGCUGGAACUGAAAUACUUGAUCUUUGGCUCUCAAGCAAACACACAUUUAAAGGAUAAUUAGUGUUGUUUCAGUGUGAAGUGGUAACACUGCUCAUGUUUAAUGCCGUGUUAGACUCCAUUGUGGUGAUGUUGCCAUGUUCCCAGAUCACAGUGUGACCUGCAUUAUGAGAAACAGGAAUCAUCCUGUAAGAAUGAACUGGAUACCCGUCCAGUCACUUUGCAUAGUUUGCCUUAAACAGCGAAGUUGAGUUUUAGUGAAUCAUUGCUGCGUUUCGGGAAUUAUUCUCGUCGACAUCAUAAACGCCUCAUUGACUUGGUCCUGGCGACGUUCUGGCGUCUCUGCGCAAUUUCAUCUUUCUGAGAAGACUUUCAUCGAUUUUGUGGGAAGAGUCCUGUUUGGUAGGAGCUGCUUUAAUGAAGCCGCCGGGCAGAGCUUCAGUGAACCUGCACCUCUCAAACGAAGGUAAGACCAAACUCCUUGGUUCUUCUUUUGUAAGCCAUCUGCAUUUCAAACAUUGUUUCAUACAUAAUUUUACACGUGCCAUGAGCUGCAACCCUGUAUGUUGAUGGUGUUUUAUAUAUUUUAACCAAUAAAAAAAAACAAGACUCAUACAAAAAAGUAAUUCCUUGUGAUUGUGAUUAUUUCACUUACACAGACCUUUUAUUUACAUUAUGUACAGUAAAAAAAGUUUUAAUGCAGACUAUGAAAGGGUUUCAUUGUGGGGCAAAUAUUGAUGUUAGAGGGGCAGCUUUGUCCCAUGGCUCCCAUGAUUGGCUCUGAGCUACUUCUUAUUCUGCAGUUAUUCUUUAUAAUUCUGUGUCUGGCUGUGGUGACGUUAUCAAACAAACCUGCACACUCGUAGAAAAAAAGAAAAAAAUGCAUCUUUGCAGUAACUUUUGUUUCUUUAACAGGUUUCAAGCCCAAAAUUUUCCAAAACUCCCUCAAUGCAUAAAAGUCAGCGUCAAACCCACGCCACCAAAAACUGAAGGCAAACACCUCCACAACGAACCCACAGCAGCAGCAGCAGCCACCCCCCUCCCAACGCACGGCAGCCUGGACUUCAAAGGAGAAAGACUGGCGUGAUACCAGAGGCGUACUACAGCACGCUACACAAAAUUCACCUGACUGCUUUUUCAACUUUUCCAUUUUCCACAGUUGUCUCACCAAACGGCAUCGGUUAAUGGAAACUUCAUGAAAACUGCUAACGUUAGCUGAUACAUUCAUUUAGACAUACAUAUUCAUCCCUGAUCGUGACCUUUGACCUCCUUGGUUGCUGUUGUUUUUCAGUGGAUGUCUGCAGCAGCCAUGUCUGCCAUGCUUUCUAAUGUUAAUGUCUUUAACAUUAAACAAGGGAUAAAUUAGCAGAGCUGUCUUUAUCCAAGGG